rnacentral:lncRNA from 1 species
CUCUGUCUGCAGGUGGUUUAUGUUGCCUCCUUUUUGGUGACAUCCAGUAGUUUCCUAAUGCUGCUGGUCCUGAUGCUCCUGGUCCUGAUGCUCCUGGUCCUGAUGCCCCUGGUCCUGAUGCUGAUGCUCCUGGUCCUGAUGCUGCUGGUCCUGAUGCUUCUGGUCCUGACGCUGAUGCCCCUGGUCCUGAUGCUUCUGGUCCUAAUGCUGCUGGUCCUGAUGCUCCUGGUCCUGAUGCUGCUGGUCCUGAUGCUCCUGGUCCUGAUGCUUCUGGUCCUGACGCUGAUGCCCCUGGUCCUGAUGCUCCUGGUCCUAAUGCUGCUGGUCCUGAUGCUCCUGGUCCUGAUGCUGCUGGGCCUGAUGCUCCUGGUCCUGAUGCUCCUGGUCCUGAUGCUCCUGGUCCUGAUGCUGAUGCUCCUGGUCCUGAUGCUCCUGGUCCUGAUGCUCCUGGUCCUGAUGCUGCCCCAGGUCCUGAUGCUGCCCCAGGUCCUGAUGCUGCUGGGUUUGAUGCCCCUGGUCCUGACGCUUUCCCAGGUCAUGAUGCUGUCCCCGGUCCUGAUGGUGAUGCUGCCGCUCCGAGCUCUGCUCAGGGAUCAGGAGACAGCAGCCUGCUGCCUGAAGCCACGCAGGUUCCCUC